GAGAAACAACAAGCACGCACGCACGCACCCUUUUUUUUCUUUUUCACAGAGGCCUCCUCUGAGAUCCGCUGAAUAUGGCACUUGAGAUGUCUAAUGUCAAAAACUUACUGUGACAGACAAAGAUUCCAGCUCCUGGAAGCAACCCUGAGGUAUCCAAAGAAGAUAACGGGGACACAACAACUCCACCUGGAUUGUGGAAAAUCUCUCAGACCUGGGUCUGGCAGCCAAAAGCCAAUGCUGUCCUGUAUCAUAGCUGAAGAUUUAAUGCCGUCCUGUAUGACAGUCUAAGACCUACAACCAUUGCCCUUAGUGAAGCCAUCAAGGCCAGCAGAGCCCAAGGCAACCAUCCAGGUAAUGGAUAAAGAAUGCUAAGACCUUAUCAAGGGUUUACCUGGGACACACAUGACAAGGGGGAAUGAAGAACCAGCCUGCUUCCAUCUUAGGUUUAAGAGCCAUCUUACAUUUCUCACAACAGAAAAACUUUCUCUGUGUAAUCGAUAUGGCUGUCCUGGAACUCGCUCAUGUAGACCAGGCUGUCCUCAAACUCAUUGAGAUCUGCCUGUCUCUGCCUCCCAAGAACUGGGAUUAAAGUCGUCUGCCCGGUCCCAUCUGUAACGUAACUGCCAAUGGUUCUGUACCGCCUGUUCCAGGAAUAGCAAUCAUAUCUUUCUUUCAAAAAGUUGUUUAUAACCAUGUUGUACCCCCAUCUUUGCUUCAAAAGGUUGUAUGACCACCUAUGAUGACCUUGUUAUGAUUGCCUGUUGUGAUGAUCUUUCUUGGACCACCUGCUUUGUUCUGAUCCUGUAACACUGCCUAUUUCCUCCCAUUUGAAAACCCCCACCUCUGAGCUGUAAAAGCCUUGUCUCCCUCACGUCCAAUGCUGAUCUCCGGAACCCUGCCUUAGGGGGAGGCAGCCUGUGUACAUGAAUAAAAACGCUUGCUUUAAUUAA